rnacentral:piRNA from 1 species
UCUUAUACCCUGGAUAUCCUGAUGUUGCC